UAAAAGUCGCGUUAAGGAUAGAAACGGCAUCCUUUUUACGUUAGUUCGAAUGAAUUUGCUGUGUAAGCAAAUUUGUAUCGAGAACAAGUAAAAAGAUAUAGUGGAUAGCCUGUUAAAAC
rnacentral:sRNA from 1 species